rnacentral:rRNA from 1 species
UACGUAGGGAGCAAGCGUUGUUCGGAGUUACUGGGCGUAAAGGGUGCGUAGGCGGCUUCUUAAGUCUGGUGUGAAAUCUCCCGGCUCAACUGGGAGGGUGCGCCGGAUACUGAGGGGCUAGAGUGUGGGAGAGGAAAGUGGAAUUCCUGGUGUAGCGGUGAAAUGCGUAGAUAUCAGGAGGAACACCGGUGGUGUAAACGGCUUUCUGGACCAUAACUGACGCUGAGGCACGAAAGCGUGGGUAGCAAACAGG